AUACUUACCUGGAUGGGGUCAGUGAGCUAUCAAUGAGACCCAUAACCUAGGUUGUGUGACCUCCAUUGCACUUUGGAGGGGUGUCUGCCUAAGGACAGCCCAAAUGGUUCAGCCUAUGUCAUAAUUUGUGAUAGUUGGGACCUGCGUUUGCGCGGCCCCUGC
rfam:Capsicum annuum cultivar Zunla-1 chromosome 10, whole genome shotgun sequence